rnacentral:rRNA from 1 species
UUAAGCGACUAAGCGUACACGGUGGAUGCCCUGGCAGUCAGAGGCGAUGAAGGACGUGCUAAUCUGCGAUAAGCGUCGGUAAGGUGAUAUGAACCGUUAUAACCGGCGAUUUCCGAAUGGGGAAACCCAGUGUGUUUCGACACACUAUCAUUAACUGAAUCCAUAGGUUAAUGAGGCGAACCGGGGGAACUGAAACAUCUAAGUACCCCGAGGAAAAGAAAUCAACCGAGAUUCCCCCAGUAGCGGCGAGCGAACGGGGAGCAGCCCAGAGCCUGAAUCAGUAUGUGUGUUAGUGGAAGCGUCUGGAAAGGCGCGCGAUACAGGGUGACAGCCCCGUACACAAAAAUGCACAUAUUGUGAGCUCGAUGAGUAGGGCGGGACACGUGGUAUCCUGUCUGAAUAUGGGGGGACCAUCCUCCAAGGCUAAAUACUCCUGACUGACCGAUAGUGAACCAGUACCGUGAGGGAAAGGCGAAAAGAACCCCGGCGAGGGGAGUGAAAAAGAACCUGAAACCGUGUACGUACAAGCAGUGGGAGCACGCUUAGGCGUGUGACUGCGUACCUUUUGUAUAAUGGGUCAGCGACUUAUAUUCUGUAGCAAGGUUAACCGAAUAGGGGAGCCGAAGGGAAACCGAGUCUUAACUGGGCGUUAAGUUGCAGGGUAUAGACCCGAAACCCGGUGAUCUAGCCAUGGGCAGGUUGAAGGUUGGGUAACACUAACUGGAGGACCGAACCGACUAAUGUUGAAAAAUUAGCGGAUGACUUGUGGCUGGGGGUGAAAGGCCAAUCAAACCGGGAGAUAGCUGGUUCUCCCCGAAAGCUAUUUAGGUAGCGCCUCGUGAAUUCAUCUCCGGGGGUAGAGCACUGUUUCGGCAAGGGGGUCAUCCCGACUUACCAACCCGAUGCAAACUGCGAAUACCGGAGAAUGUUAUCACGGGAGACACACGGCGGGUGCUAACGUCCGUCGUGAAGAGGGAAACAACCCAGACCGCCAGCUAAGGUCCCAAAGUCAUGGUUAAGUGGGAAACGAUGUGGGAAGGCCCAGACAGCCAGGAUGUUGGCUUAGAAGCAGCCAUCAUUUAAAGAAAGCGUAAUAGCUCACUGGUCGAGUCGGCCUGCGCGGAAGAUGUAACGGGGCUAAACCAUGCACCGAAGCUGCGGCAGCGACACUGAUGUGUUGUUGGGUAGGGGAGCGUUCUGUAAGCCUGCGAAGGUGUGCUGUGAGGCAUGCUGGAGGUAUCAGAAGUGCGAAUGCUGACAUAAGUAACGAUAAAGCGGGUGAAAAGCCCGCUCGCCGGAAGACCAAGGGUUCCUGUCCAACGUUAAUCGGGGCAGGGUGAGUCGACCCCUAAGGCGAGGCCGAAAGGCGUAGUCGAUGGGAAACAGGUUAAUAUUCCUGUACUUGGUGUUACUGCGAAGGGGGGACGGAGAAGGCUAUGUUGGCCGGGCGACGGUUGUCCCGGUUUAAGCGUGUAGGCUGGUUUUCCAGGCAAAUCCGGAAAAUCAAGGCUGAGGCGUGAUGACGAGGCACUACGGUGCUGAAGCAACAAAUGCCCUGCUUCCAGGAAAAGCCUCUAAGCAUCAGGUAACAUCAAAUCGUACCCCAAACCGACACAGGUGGUCAGGUAGAGAAUACCAAGGCGCUUGAGAGAACUCGGGUGAAGGAACUAGGCAAAAUGGUGCCGUAACUUCGGGAGAAGGCACGCUGAUAUGUAGGUGAAGUCCCUCGCGGAUGGAGCUGAAAUCAGUCGAAGAUACCAGCUGGCUGCAACUGUUUAUUAAAAACACAGCACUGUGCAAACACGAAAGUGGACGUAUACGGUGUGACGCCUGCCCGGUGCCGGAAGGUUAAUUGAUGGGGUUAGCCGCAAGGCGAAGCUCUUGAUCGAAGCCCCGGUAAACGGCGGCCGUAACUAUAACGGUCCUAAGGUAGCGAAAUUCCUUGUCGGGUAAGUUCCGACCUGCACGAAUGGCGUAAUGAUGGCCAGGCUGUCUCCACCCGAGACUCAGUGAAAUUGAACUCGCUGUGAAGAUGCAGUGUACCCGCGGCAAGACGGAAAGACCCCGUGAACCUUUACUAUAGCUUGACACUGAACAUUGAGCCUUGAUGUGUAGGAUAGGUGGGAGGCUUAGAAGUGUGGACGCCAGUCUGCAUGGAGCCGACCUUGAAAUACCACCCUUUAAUGUUUGAUGUUCUAACGUUGACCCGUAAUCCGGGUUGCGGACAGUGUCUGGUGGGUAGUUUGACUGGGGCGGUCUCCUCCUAAAGAGUAACGGAGGAGCACGAAGGUUGGCUAAUCCUGGUCGGACAUCAGGAGGUUAGUGCAAUGGCAUAAGCCAGCUUGACUGCGAGCGUGACGGCGCGAGCAGGUGCGAAAGCAGGUCAUAGUGAUCCGGUGGUUCUGAAUGGAAGGGCCAUCGCUCAACGGAUAAAAGGUACUCCGGGGAUAACAGGCUGAUACCGCCCAAGAGUUCAUAUCGACGGCGGUGUUUGGCACCUCGAUGUCGGCUCAUCACAUCCUGGGGCUGAAGUAGGUCCCAAGGGUAUGGCUGUUCGCCAUUUAAAGUGGUACGCGAGCUGGGUUUAGAACGUCGUGAGACAGUUCGGUCCCUAUCUGCCGUGGGCGCUGGAGAACUGAGGGGGGCUGCUCCUAGUACGAGAGGACCGGAGUGGACGCAUCACUGGUGUUCGGGUUGUCAUGCCAAUGGCACUGCCCGGUAGCUAAAUGCGGAAGAGAUAAGUGCUGAAAGCAUCUAAGCACGAAACUUGCCCCGAGAUGAGUUCUCCCUGACUCC